rnacentral:tRNA from 1 species
UAAGAAGUGGUGUAGAGGAAGCACAAAGAGUUUUGAUCUCUUAAGGGUAGGUUCAAGUCCUACCUUUUUAA